rnacentral:rRNA from 1 species
AAAUUGAAGAGUUUGAUCAUGGCUCAGAUUGAACGCUGGCGGCAGGCCUAACACAUGCAAGUCGAACGGUAACAGGAAGCAGCUUGCUGCUUCGCUGACGAGUGGCGGACGGGUGAGUAAUGUCUGGGAAACUGCCUGAUGGAGGGGGAUAACUACUGGAAACGGUAGCUAAUACCGCAUAACGUCGCAAGACCAAAGAGGGGGACCUUCGGGCCUCUUGCCAUCGGAUGUGCCCAGAUGGGAUUAGCUAGUAGGUGGGGUAACGGCUCACCUAGGCGACGAUCCCUAGCUGGUCUGAGAGGAUGACCAGCCACACUGGAACUGAGACACGGUCCAGACUCCUACGGGAGGCAGCAGUGGGGAAUAUUGCACAAUGGGCGCAAGCCUGAUGCAGCCAUGCCGCGUGUAUGAAGAAGGCCUUCGGGUUGUAAAGUACUUUCAGCGGGGAGGAAGGGAGUAAAGUUAAUACCU